rnacentral:rRNA from 1 species
AGGACGAACGCUGGCGGCGUGCUUAGCACAUGCAAGUCGAGCGGAAAGGCCCUUCGGGGUACUCGAGCGGCGAACGGGUGAGUAACACGUGAGCAACCUGCCCUUAGCUUCGGGAUAGCUCCGGGAAACCGGAAUUAAUACCGAAUAUGACUUUGGCUGACAUCAGCAGAAGUGGAAAGUUUUUCGGCUAGGGAUGGACUCGCGGCCUAUCAGCUAGUUGGUGAGGUAACGGCCCACCAAGGCGACGACGGGUA